UGGGGAAUAUUGCACAAUGGGCGCAAGCCUGAUGCAGCCAUGCCGCGUGUGUGAAGAAGGCCUUCGGGUUGUAAAGCACUUUCAGCGGGGAGGAAGGCGUUAAGGUUAAUAACCUUGGCGAUUGACGUUACCCGCAGAAGAAGCACCGGCUAACUCCGUGCCAGCAGCCGCGGUAAUACGGAGGGUGCAAGCGUUAAUCGGAAUUACUGGGGGUAAAGCGGACGCAGGCGGUCUGUCAAGUCGGAUGUGUAAUCCCCGGGCUCAACCUGGGAACUGCAUUCGUAACUGGCAGGGUAGAGUCUUGUAGAGGGGGGUAGAAUUCCAGGUGUAGCGGUGAAAUGCGUAGAGGUCUAGAGGAAUACCGGUGGGGAAGGCGGCCCCCUGGACAGAGACUGACGCUCAGGUGCGAAAGCGUGGGGAGCAAACAGG
rnacentral:rRNA from 1 species